rnacentral:tRNA from 1 species
CCCUUCUCUUACUAGCUUUACACUAGUAAUGUGGGGGAAGGUCCAAGCUCCCUCGCGUACCAGGUCGAGACGCAGACAGGG